rnacentral:rRNA from 1 species
CCUACGGGAGGCAGCAGUGGGGAAUAUUGGGCAAUGGGCGAAAGCCUGACCCAGCAACGCCGCGUGAAGGAAGAAGGCUUUCGGGGUGUAAACUCUCUUUGACAGGGAAGAGCAGAAGACGGUACCUGUCGAACAAGCCACGGCUAACUACGUGCCAUCAGCCGCGGUAAUACCGAGGUCGCAAGCUCUGUCCGGAUUUACUGGGUGUAAAGGGCGUGUCGGCGUGCUGACAAGUCAGGUGUGAAAUUUGGGGGCUCAAACCCCGACCUGCAGUUGAAACUGUUGGUCGUGAGUAUCUGAGAGGCAGGCGGAAUGCGUGGGGUAGCGGUGAAAUGCGUAGAUAUUAGGAAGAACACCAGUGGCGAAGGCAGCCUGCUGG